GCGCCCCUAGCUCAGCUUGGAUAGAGCGAUAGCCUCCUAAGCUAUAGGUCCGGAGUUCGAAUCUUCGGGGGCGCG
rnacentral:tRNA from 1 species